UUGAACGCUGGCGGCAUGCUUUACACAUGCCAGUCGAACGGUAACAGGCCGCAAGGUGCUGACGAGUGGCGAACGGGUGAGUAAUGCAUCGGAACGUGCCCAGUCGUGGGGGAUAACUACUCGAAAGAGUAGCUAAUACCGCAUACGAUCUAUGGAUGAAAGCGGGGGACCGUAAGGCCUCGCGCGAUUGGAGCGGCCGAUGUCAGAUUAGGUAGUUGGUGGGGUAAAGGCUCACCAAGCCAACGACCUGUAGCUGGUCUGAGAGGACGACCAGCCACACUGGGACUGAGACACGGCCCAGACUCCUACGGGAGGCAGCAGUGGGGAAUUUUGGACAAUGGGCGCAAGCCUGAUCCAGCAAUGCCGCGUGCAGGAAGAAGGCCUUCGGGUUGUAAACUGCUUUUGUACGGAACGAAACGGCUCUGGUUAAUACCCGGGGCUAAUGACGGUACCGUAAGAAUAAGCACCGGCUAACUACGUG
rnacentral:rRNA from 1 species